rnacentral:misc_RNA from 1 species
GAUGAAGAACGUAGCGAAAUGCGAUAAGUAGUGUGAAUUGCAGAAUUCAGUGAAUCAUCGAAUCUUUGAACGCACAUUGCGGCCAUAGGUAUUCCUUUGGCCAUGCCUGUUCGAGCGUCAUUUACACCCUCAAGCCUAGCUUGGUGUUGGGCGCCUGUCCCGCCGUUUUCGCGCGCGGACUCGCCUCAAAGUCAUUGGCGGCGGUCGUGCCGGCCCCCUCGCGCAGCACAUUUGCGCUUCUCGGAGGCCCGGCGGAUCCGCGCUCCAGCAAGACCUUUCACGACUUGACCUCGGAUCAGGUAGGGAUACCCGCUGAAUUUAAGCAUAUCAAUAAGCGGAGGA